UCCCAAAAGCGUGGGAUUUUGCUACCCGAAGAAGGAUUUCGGUGCCAAAAAAUUUGAUAAGACUCGCUUGAGCUCGAAUUUAUAGGCUAAGAAUCCAAUUUCAUUCUGGUGCUGGCGAGAAUUCCGAUGAUCUCGUAGUCCAGUUUGCUGCUCUAAAAAAAGUAAAAGUAAAAAGAGAAAAUGGGGCAAGUCAUUCAAGUCAACAAGAGGCCAAAUGUGAAGGAAAAGAGCCAUCCGCUUUGCAUCUGCUUUGGAUCUGCUUUGUAUCUGCUUGGGAGCUGCUUUCUAUCUGCUCUCCAUCCGCUUUGGAUCUGCUCAAGCAGAUCAAGAGCAAGGUGGAAAUUUUAUAAUUUUGUCAAUUAUUUAAGAGGUCUUGUAGCUCAUUUUUACCCAUCAUUCUACAACUCUACCUCCCUUAUUUAGUCUAGGGUUUUUGUAACUUCUUGGUGCUUGGAGCAUGACUUGCACUAAAUUUUGAGCUAAGAAGACAUUAGAGUGACUUCUAAGUGUAGAUUUGGCUUCAUACAUUGAAGAUUCAUUGGAUUC